UGUACCGCGAGAUGAGUUUGGCGGCGUUUAUCGUUUGAAUGGCGUGACUGCCGAUGAUGAUGAUGACGACGACGACAACGGCGGAGACUUCGGUGACUGAAACGCGGUCUGGCUUGAGAUGAUGUGAAGGAAGUUUAAAGCAUCUCAGCAAGCACAGCAACAAACAUUCUUCGAAUUCCACCAGUACAAGACGAUCGAUUUUUUGAUAAUGCGGAACCGAUUUUUUCCCGGUUUUUUUGUUACUAUUUUUUCGGAAGUUUAUGCCACUUCGUGGGAGGUAGCCGUACCGUAAAGGUAGGUAAGUAUAGUUAGGUGGUGGUGUGCAGGUGGAUCAAAAUGCAACCGAUGGCGAUGACUCACGAUGGCAGCGUUGG